AGAACGAACGCUGGCGGCAUGCCUAACACAUGCAAGUCGAACGCUCUCUUCGGAGGGAGUGGCGCACGGGUGAGUAACGCGUGGGAACCUGCCUUGGAGUGGGGGAUAACCGAUGGAAACGUCGGCUAAUACCGCAUACGUCCUGAGGGAGAAAGAUUUAUCGCUCUGAGAGGGGCCCGCGUCGGAUUAGCUAGUUGGUGGGGUAACGGCCUACCAAGGCGAUGAUCCGUAGCUGGUCUGAGAGGAUGAUCAGCCACACUGGGACUGAGACACGGCCCAGACUCCUACGGGAGGCAGCAGUGGGGAAUAUUGGACAAUGGGCGCAAGCCUGAUCCAGCAAUGCCGCGUGAGUGAUGAAGGCCUUAGGGUUGUAAAGCUCUUUCGCCCGCGACGAUGAUGACGGUAGCGGGAGAAGAAGCCCGGCUAACUUCGUGCCAGCAGCCGC
rnacentral:rRNA from 1 species